rnacentral:lncRNA from 1 species
CUUGAUUAGGGCAUGUCUCUGUAAGGUCCUCUAUGGAUAGGGGGAAAUCAGCUGUCUCCCAGAUGCCCAGCCCAAUAAAUCAGUGGAUGCCAACUGGCCUGGUUCAUGAAAUCCAGAGAUUCCAAAAUCAUUAAGAGAAUUCUUUGGGGGUGCCCCAGCCUUGCCCAGAACAGAACUAGAAUAAUUUGGCUCCAGAAAAAGAACUGUGAUCUGAAUAUGGCCAGUCACCCCACUGCAUGGACUCAUAUACAUUCAAAACCCUGCAGAACAGCCAGGAGGCUGCAAACCAAAUGAAUCCAAAAGCCUCUGGAGAGUUCCUUGGGGAUGCUCUGGCCUUGCCUGGCACAGGUUCUAAAACUGUGUCCUCUGAAUCUGGAUGGACUGGUAAAAUUUCAUAAAUAAGUGACUGAUUGACAGCAUGCUGCUACCAUAUAGAAAAAGAAACAUGCCUGGAAUAAAGCAACAUACAGAAAGAAGCA